CACAAAUCUGCAUCUUUGCCUCCCUUUUCCACCCAGAUUUUGUUUUAUUGAUAGCUCAUGCAGAUGAAGCGUUAAGGACCUCAUUUUGCUGUAGCCUCAGGCUUCAGCAAACGAUGAACCUUUUGUGAGUCUGCAGAAGAGCUUUCCUGUAGCUUCACCAAGGGCAGAUCGUGCCUGACCAAUCUGGUAGCCUUCUAUGAUGGAGCGAUGGCAUCGGUGGAUAGGGGAAGGGCGACAGAUGUCAUCUACCUGGACUUCUGCAAAUGCUUUGACAUGGUCCCUCACCACGUCCUUCUCUCUAAAUUGGAGAGAAUAAGUCAGGAACAUGGUAUGGUGCUUCUAUUUCAGGCUGUCAUCCAACUUCUACAGCAAGAAAUCCAAACUACAGAAGUAUAGCUGAAAAGGCCAAAAACGCCAUCUAUGAGAAUGCGAACUUCCAGGGAUCCUCCAAAGAAUUAGCCAGUGACACUGCCAAUCUGAACGAUGUGCAUUGGAAUGGCCGUCUCCUCAGUAAAAGUAAUAGAACAGCUUUGGGUGGCUUAUGAGCACUUCAGCUAUGCAGGCCAGGUAUUGGUAUUUGAGGAAGGG
ensembl:lncRNA